rnacentral:tRNA from 1 species
UCCCUGGUGGUCUAGUGGCUAAGACUUGGUGUUAUCACUGCUAUGGCCCUGGUUCAAUCCCUGGUCUGGGAA